GCCUGGCUAGCUCAGUUGAUAGAGCAUGCGAUUCUUGAUUUCAGGGGUGUGGGUUUGAGCCCCAUGCUGAGAG